rnacentral:ncRNA from 2 species
AGAAAAGCUGUGACCGGGAAAAGUACGUUGUGCCGUUGCAUCAAGAGAGUCUGCGCCUUGGCUGGAAGUGCGGAUAUGCGAGAAACUUCAGAAGUUCACCCCGCGAGCUGCCUGUCGGGACCAGCAAGCUGCUGUAAAGAUGGGCCGGUGAAGAGCCGUUACGUAAACGAGUGAUUGCGCCUGGCGCAAUAACUAGGGUGGUACCGCGAAUAAUGCCUCGUCCCUUUU